CAGUAGCCGCGGUAAUACGGAGGGGGCUAGCGUUGUUCGGAAUUACUGGGCGUAAAGCGUGCGUAGGCGGCUUUGUAAGUUAGAGGUGAAAGCCCAGGGCUCAACCCUGGAAUUGCCUUUAAGACUGCAUCGCUUGAACGUCGGAGAGGUGAGUGGAAUUCCGAGUGUAGAGGUGAAAUUCGUAGAUAUUCGGAAGAACACCAGUGGCGAAGGCGACUCACUGGACGACUGUUGACGCUGAGGCACGAAAGCGUGGGGAGCAAACAGGAUUAGAUACCCCUGUAGUCCCUGUCUCUUAUAA
rnacentral:rRNA from 1 species